rnacentral:misc_RNA from 1 species
AACGCAAAUUGCACUCUUCGGUCUUCCGGGAAGUAUGCCUGUUUGAGGGUCGGUAAAAUGAAACAUCGAUUUGUUGCUUGUUUGCAACAUUUCGGAGUUGGGUUAACUUUUGAUAUUCUCAAGUGACCUAAAAUUCAUACCUCGGUAUGAUUAACGUUCUUAAAUGAUUUCGUUCUGAGUGCCGAAUUUAUUAGACGUGACUAUCUUAUAGCAUCACUUCUAUAAUUUUUGAAUUUCGACCUCAAAUCAAGCAAGAUUACCCGCUGAACUUAA